AGCUCCAGCCGCCGCCGCAGCUACCGCCGCAGCGAAGAGGCCAUGUUGUGUGGUGUGUGGGGCGGGGGGAGGAGGAGGAGGGAGUAAAGCCGAGCGAGGAGACUGGAGAGACACCACACACGGCACAAGAUGGCCGGAGAGGCAACAGCAACUCCAGCUGUCAGGCGGCCCGCCGCGGCCCAAGGGCUCGCCGCUGCGCUGGGAGCAGUUCCUGGGCGUCCCGGAGGGCUCCGGAAUAGCGGGGAGGUCACGGCUGAGGCGAGGCGGUCGCGUGCGAAUGCGGGAGCUCGCCGCAGAGGCGCCCGGGGAGGCCUGGCCCACGACGCCCGUGGCUCCGCUGCGGCAGCGGCGGUGCUGGUGGCGCGCGCGGCCCGGAGGCGGCUCGCGCCGUGAGCGGGAUGCUGCGGCGGGCGACCCUUCCUGGACGGGCGAGGAAGAGCAAGCCGAUGGCUCCUGCGGCCGCGCUUCGACCCGGUAUCUUAGAAGAUGGUAAUGUGGUUGCCGAUGAUUCUGAAUAAAUACAGCUUUUAUCCCAGGUGUGCCAUUCUGAAGACUGAGACAAUAGAGUUUUUAAGAAUAAAAGAGAACCCUUGGGAAAUUCUGUAUUGUAUAUAUCAAAAAUAUGAAUCCUGAGGUGGAAUGAAAGGCGUGUAUACUAUAGACAUCGAAGCAUUUACACCCAGCUUGAAGAGUUUGAAAUGGACUUUACCACUGAGAAAUCAAGAUGGCAGCCCAUUAUGGGGAAUUGAGGAAAAUGGAUUAAUGCAAGAAUGCUGUGAUAUUACACAACCAACACAGGAUUCUUUUAAUAUGGAUGCCAUGAAAUGAAUGAUUCUUACCCAACACAAAUGGACAGUGGAAUUUACUUCCUAAAGACUUGUUUCGUAUCAUGUACAUUUUUGACAUCUGGAGAAGAUGCUACAUUUCUACAAAUGGUAGUUUGUAUUCCUGUAGAUUCUUGCCGUUUGCUCUGAGUGACCUUAUGGAAUGUUAACUUUAAUAAAAUUCUAAAACUUAAAAAAU
rnacentral:sRNA from 1 species